rnacentral:rRNA from 1 species
UUAAGUUAUUAAGGGCGCACGGUGGAUGCCUUGGCACUAGAAGCCGAUGAAGGACGUUACUAACGACGAUAUGCUUUGGGGAGCUGUAAGUAAGCUUUGAUCCAGAGAUUUCCGAAUGGGGAAACCCAGCAUGAGUUAUGUCAUGUUAUCGAUAUGUGAAUACAUAGCAUAUCAGAAGGCACACCCGGAGAACUGAAACAUCUUAGUACCCGGAGGAAGAGAAAGAAAAUUCGAUUCCCUUAGUAGCGGCGAGCGAAACGGGAAGAGCCCAAACCAAAAAGCUUGCUUGUUGGGGUUGUAGGACACUCUAUACGGAGUUACAAAGGACGACAUUAGACGAAUCAUCUGGAAAGAUGAAUCAAAGAAGGUAAUAAUCCUGUAGUCGAAAAUGUUGUCUCUCUUGAGUGGAUCCUGAGUACGACGGAGCACGUGAAAUUCCGUCGGAAUCUGGGAGGACCAUCUCCUAAGGCUAAAUACUCUCUAGUGACCGAUAGUGAACCAGUACCGUGAGGGAAAGGUGAAAAGCACCCCGGAAGGAGAGUGAAAUAGAACCUGAAACCGUGUGCUUACAAGUAGUCAGAGCCCGUUAAUGGGUGAUGGCGUGCCUUUUGUAGAAUGAACCGGCGAGUUACGAUUUGAUGCAAGGUUAAGCAGUAAAUGUGGAGCCGUAGCGAAAGCGAGUCUGAAUAGGGCGUUUAGUAUUUGGUCGUAGACCCGAAACCAGGUGAUCUACCCUUGGUCAGGUUGAAGUUCAGGUAACACUGAAUGGAGGACCGAACCGACUUACGUUGAAAAGUGAGCGGAUGAACUGAGGGUAGCGGAGAAAUUCCAAUCGAACCUGGAGAUAGCUGGUUCUCUCCAAAAUAGCUUUAGGGCUAGCCUCAAGUGAUGAUUAUUGGAGGUAGAGCACUGUUUGGACGAGGGGCCCCUCUCGGGUUACCGAAUUCAGACAAACUCCGAAUGCCAAUUAAUUUAACUUGGGAGUCAGAACAUGGGUGAUAAGGUCCGUGUUCGAAAGGGAAACAGCCCAGACCACCAGCUAAGGUCCCAAAAUAUAUGUUAAGUGGAAAAGGAUGUGGCGUUGCCCAGACAACUAGGAUGUUGGCUUAGAAGCAGCCAUCAUUUAAAGAGUGCGUAAUAGCUCACUAGUCGAGUGACACUGCGCCGAAAAUGUACCGGGGCUAAACAUAUUACCGAAGCUGUGGAUUGUCCUUUGGACAAUGGUAGGAGAGCGUUCUAAGGGCGUUGAAGCAUGAUCGUAAGGACAUGUGGAGCGCUUAGAAGUGAGAAUGCCGGUGUGAGUAGCGAAAGACGGGUGAGAAUCCCGUCCACCGAUUGACUAAGGUUUCCAGAGGAAGGCUCGUCCGCUCUGGGUUAGUCGGGUCCUAAGCUGAGGCCGACAGGCGUAGGCGAUGGAUAACAGGUUGAUAUUCCUGUACCACCUAUAAUCGUUUUAAUCGAUGGGGGGACGCAGUAGGAUAGGCGAAGCGUGCGAUUGGAUUGCACGUCUAAGCAGUAAGGCUGAGUAUUAGGCAAAUCCGGUACUCGUUAAGGCUGAGCUGUGAUGGGGAGAAGACAUUGAGUCUUCGAGUCGUUGAUUUCACACUGCCGAGAAAAGCCUCUAGAUAGAAAAUAGGUGCCCGUACCGCAAACCGACACAGGUAGUCAAGAUGAGAAUUCUAAGGUGAGCGAGCGAACUCUCGUUAAGGAACUCGGCAAAAUGACCCCGUAACUUCGGGAGAAGGGGUGCUCUUUAGGGUUAACGCCCAGAAGAGCCGCAGUGAAUAGGCCCAAGCGACUGUUUAUCAAAAACACAGGUCUCUGCUAAACCGUAAGGUGAUGUAUAGGGGCUGACGCCUGCCCGGUGCUGGAAGGUUAAGAGGAGUGGUUAGCUUCUGCGAAGCUACGAAUCGAAGCCCCAGUAAACGGCGGCCGUAACUAUAACGGUCCUAAGGUAGCGAAAUUCCUUGUCGGGUAAGUUCCGACCCGCACGAAAGGCGUAACGAUUUGGGCACUGUCUCAACGAGAGACUCGGUGAAAUCAUAGUACCUGUGAAGAUGCAGGUUACCCGCGACAGGACGGAAAGACCCCGUGGAGCUUUACUGUAGCCUGAUAUUGAAAUUCGGCACAGCUUGUACAGGAUAGGUAGGAGCCUUUGAAACGUGAGCGCUAGCUUACGUGGAGGCGCUGGUGGGAUACUACCCUAGCUGUGUUGGCUUUCUAACCCGCACCACUUAUCGUGGUGGGAGACAGUGUCAAGCGGGCAGUUUGACUGGGGCGGUCGCCUCCUAAAAGGUAACGGAGGCGCUCAAAGGUUCCCUCAGAAUGGUUGGAAAUCAUUCAUAGAGUGUAAAGGCAUAAGGGAGCUUGACUGCGAGACCUACAAGUCGAGCAGGGUCGAAAGACGGACUUAGUGAUCCGGUGGUUCCGCAUGGAAGGGCCAUCGCUCAACGGAUAAAAGCUACCCCGGGGAUAACAGGCUUAUCUCCCCCAAGAGUUCACAUCGACGGGGAGGUUUGGCACCUCGAUGUCGGCUCAUCGCAUCCUGGGGCUGUAGUCGGUCCCAAGGGUUGGGCUGUUCGCCCAUUAAAGCGGUACGCGAGCUGGGUUCAGAACGUCGUGAGACAGUUCGGUCCCUAUCCGUCGUGGGCGUAGGAAAUUUGAGAGGAGCUGUCCUUAGUACGAGAGGACCGGGAUGGACAUACCUCUGGUGUACCAGUUGUCGUGCCAACGGCAUAGCUGGGUAGCUAUGUGUGGACGGGAUAAGUGCUGAAAGCAUCUAAGCAUGAAGCCCCCCUCAAGAUGAGAUUUCCCAACUUCGGUUAUAAGAUCCCUCAAAGAUGAUGAGGUUAAUAGGUUCGAGGUGGAAGCAUGGUGACAUGUGGAGCUGACGAAUACUAAUCGAUCGAAGACUUAAUCAA